rnacentral:lncRNA from 1 species
CUUGCUUUGAAGUCUCCAAACAAGCCUGUGGCAUUCAUGAUAGUGUUUUUGUGCCAGCAUAUUAAAGGGGGUCGUAACUGUAGAGCUAGUUGGAUUGUAUCUUAACUUUAGAAAAUUGACUAUUUCUAUAAGGAAACAAGCUUCCAAACAAAAAGUUAACACAGUUUUUGACAGCAUCUUAGCUAACAGAGACAACUGAUUUCUAGGCAUUUUGGGGAAGACAAACUACUGAAACUUUGUGGCUCUUACUCUAAGGAAAAAAAAGGAGUUCAAGUAUAGCCACUGCUAUUGCUAGAUGAUAUGGCAUUUUUCCUACAGUUCAGUUGUCAAGGAUGCACCAAAACAGCUCUGUGUUGCUUCUUGGUCUCAGGCCAAGUGGGGCAGGUGAAGUGCUGCACAAUGGAGGGAAAAGCAGACGGACGGCGGCAAGAGGGAAGGACUUGUCAAUGCUCCCUAAAACGGCAGAUGGUGCUGAAGGCCAGGGCAGCGCACACGAACUGGGGACGCGCUCCAGCUCUGACCAGGUCUCACACAGAUUUAGCACAAUUAGAUGUUACCACUUCUGGUCAUUUUGCGAAUCUGGCGUCUAUUGUUCAGUCGUGAUCAUGAUUUUUUAGAGCAAGAGAAGUCUUGUGAAAGAAAGUGUAAUUUCAUUUUACUUUACAGUCAAUAUUUAUGGAACCAGUCAUUAGAUGAAGACAAAAUAUAGUCCAAAUUUUAUGAAGUUUAUAAAAGAUUUAAACUGACAUACUAGAAUAUGAAAUCUGAAAACAUUAGACAUUUUAAGAAAGGCACUGUUUUUAUGAACAAAGGAAAGGAGACAUUAUAAUAAUUAGAUCUAAGUUCUAUGUAAAAUAUUAAAUGGGAUCCAAAAUACACUAAAUCUUAAACUUUCGUCCAGUCUUUGUUUAGUAUUGACUGUAUCUUAAGCAUUUGCAUUUUGAAAUUGUUGCAUGAAGCCCAAUUUGAUAGCAUUUCCAUCAUUUCAACAUUUUAUUUCAACAGGUAAUAAUGAAAAAAUAUUACUUUUCAUUUCAGUACUUGCAAAAUUUGGGGUUAGUUUGCAUUUGAAAUAAAAACUUAUUUCUUAUUUCA